rnacentral:lncRNA from 1 species
CGGUGAUCUCCGUCGUGCACGGCGACGAUGAAGAAGAUGCAGAAGGGAAAAAUGAUGGUGAUGAUGAGAAAGGUAAGAAAAAUAACUUCUUUUCUUAUUUCAGUAAUGCCAUAGUACAUUAUGUAUUUUCAUCUCUUAAAACAAAAAGGGGGGAAGGGAAACUCUAUAUAUAGAGUUACAAAGGGGAAACGAAAAAAAGCGAAAGACAAACACAAAACAAACAAACUGUCCUAAAGAUAGUGAGGAGAAUCGUAAGAUUCUCAACAUCCUCCCCUCAAACUGGACGGUGUAUACUAACCAGUCCAAGUUUGGGUAAAAUGGUCCUGAAUCUGACACGGUGUGGAAACUUCGUGAAGACAUCAGCUAACUGUUCAUCGGAUCAGACUGAAAGGAGAUAUAGGAGCCCAACUUGAAUUUUCUCGCGUACCACGUGAC